CUGCCCCUCAGGGCUCUGGCUGCUCUCUGCUCAGUCUCUGAAGGCCAGGAUGAGCUCCCCAUGGCAGCUGCUCUGGCUUCUGGUGCUCUGGGCUCAGGAUUCCCAGGGAGCCAUUGUGCUGAGCCAGUCUCCCGCCUCCUUGUCCGCAUCUCCAGGAGAGACAGUCACCAUCCGCUGCAAGGCCAGUGAGAGUAUAUAUAGUUACUUGCACUGGUACCAGCAGAAACCUGGCCAAGCCCCCAGGCUCCUCAUCUACUAUGCUGACAGCCUGGCAUCCGGGGUCCCUGCCCGGUUCAGUGGCAGUGGGUCUGGGACAGAUUUCACUCUCACCAUCAGCAGCCUGGAGCCUGAGGACGCUGCACAUUAUUACUGUCAGCAGUCUUGGAGCUCCCCUCUCCCACAGUGCUUCAGGCCUGAACAAAAACCUCCCCAGUGUGUCCAUGGGACUCAGCUCAGAGCAGCAGUUUCAGUAAGCGGCCGCCCCUCAGCUACACCAGACCGAGUUCAGCGGCUGCCCCUCACGCCCGGCCCCGGGAACCUAGGACCCGGGCAGCGCCGGCCCAUUCCAGGGAUUAAACAGGCAGGUGGCAUUUUCCUCGCACACCCCUCACUGCUAUCAAAACGCUGGAUACAGUGA